rnacentral:lncRNA from 1 species
CCAAACUCCAGUAGAAAUAAGUCACAAGCUCUAAGAGAAAUGUUAAAUAUCCCUAUACAUCAGAGUCUAAUGAAGACAAGGAAGAACAACAUAAAUAAUGUAGAGGGGGACUCCGAGGUCUGCGGACGCGGGCCAAUGUACCUUGAAGUCUCCACGAACUCACUGCUCACUAAUAUCGGGUCUGGUAGGAGGUACCUAGAUCUGCACAACAAAAGGUGUGCAGAAGCAUAGUAUGAGUAUACCACAAUGGUACUCAGCAAGUGCCAAGCCUAACCUCGGUAGAGAAGUGAUGAGGUCAGAUCAGGGACCUACUGGAAUAAAAAGGAAUCAUGGCAGAAGAUAUAAUACUGUAAUGGAAAGACUAACAAAUUAAUAAUGAGAAAUUACAGAAAAGUAACAACACAACAACUAGAGGUAAACAACAGGGGCGCUCCCGAGGUACCGCUUUGUAGUCCCAAAAAUAAAUACACAAUAAAGGAGCUCUUAAGGUACCGCCUCGUAGUCCAAAAAGUAAAUAUGCAACAUAGGAGCUCCCGAGGUACCGCCUCGUAGUCCCAAAAAGUAAAUAAACAACUCGUAGUCGAAGGAACAACGAAUUUACAGCAAGGAAUUCUACAAUUAAAGACUAAAUAUUAAAAUCAAGGAAGCAGAAUGUCACGCUCCAAACCUGGGGAGGCGUGACUGGCACCCGGUGCCGUAGUGGCCCGAACGAACCACAAUGUAACUCAUUCAUUCCUUUUGUAACUAUCGUGGGCCAACAUGGCCACAACUCGAAAUGCAUAAUUAUAAGGGGGCAUUACUGUAUCACUGAAUCAUAUUUCUUAAAACAUGAAUACAUAUGGGCCCGUCAAGGCCUCUGACAUAUUGUACCAAAUGAACCUAUGUCUACAAAGCCUCUAAGAUUAUUUGACAUAAAAUGUGACAGGGUACCGGCCUACCCAUAAGUCUGUAGUAAAACUCUGACACGAUAACUCAUAGACUCGGCUGCACUCCGAAUGAGAUAGAGUCUUACCGAUCCUUCGCUGAAUGUCAAUCUCGUGUACUAUGAGGGCUCGUCAAAUUAAUUAUCUAUACCUGCAGGCAUGAAUGCAACGUCCCCCACAAAAGGACAUCAGUACGAAUAAUGUACUGAGUAUGUAAGGCAUGUAAAUCAAUAUAUAAAGGACAUGGAAGAAACAUGGAGUAAAGGACUCAACUUGUAAGUCUGGAUAGCUCUGUAAAUCAUGAAAUAUUUAUAAUGUCAUGCGUAUAAAUGUCAUGUAAUGCAUAGGUCUGUACAGAUAUAACAUCAUCAAGCCUUUGAGGGCAUCCCAUCAUAUCAUCUCGGCCACUGUGGGCAAAUCAUCAACGUAUAUCAGCUGAUCAGGUGGUGGUGCGUAUAUAAUGCCGUAACAUUUUUCCGUAUCCCAUAUACAUAUAGAUAUAUGUAUAUACACGUAUAUAACGCCAUUUGAGUCAUAUUGCAGCCACUGAGGGCAACAUCAUCAUCGUAUACCAGCCGAUCAAGUGGUGGUGCAUAUACAACGCCAUAACCUUUUCCAUAUCCCCUAUACACACACACACACACACACACACACACACACAUAUAUAUAUAUAUAUAUAUAUAUAUAUACAUACAUACAUAUAUAUAUACGCGUAUAUAACGCCAUCUGGUCAUGGGUCAAUGUACAUGAAUGCAAUGCAUGAAAAGUACGUUAAUAAAAAAUUUCGGAAUAUCAUAAGACCAUUAUAGCUUUGAAUAAUAUCAUGAAGUAAACUUUUUCAACUUACGUAUUUUUCUGGGACCAAUGAAUAGAUGAUAGAAUAAUAUGACACAUAGUUCAUUUUGUCCGUGUAGUAUAGAUAAUGCCAAAAAGAAAGAAGUUAUAGCCUUAACAUACCUGAGUAGCAGCUGAAAGCCCUUAAGCAGAAGUUUACUCAACUCAUUAUUCGGUGAUAAUCCAGAACUUUUAUUUAAUUUGCUUUUGUUCUUCGUUUCUCAGUCUAAUUGGCAAAAUUCAUUGUCUAUUUCGUUUUCUUUUCCUAUCAAUAUAUUUCCAUAUUUUUUAGGGAAACCAAAAGUUCCAAAAAGAAAAAGAAAGAAUACCGAAAAUAAUUGGCCCUCUUUUAGAUCAAAUAUUGAUACUGAAGUGGGAAAUGAUAGGAGGGUGUCCUUUGGGAGUAAAAAUUGACUAGGCAUGGGUCCCUUGAAAGAACAUUUCGCCGGCAUAUCCAACCUUGUACAACAACCAUAAAUUACUUUGAGCUCCUACAAAGAACAUGGCUGUAACUUCAACUUUUGAAGAAGGUUGAAUGACUAGGAAAUAGGCAAGGGUGGAAAAUUUUGAAAACUUGCGCAAAGACAAGGAGGAACAGAGAUGAGGAUUUUUGGGAAGCACAUAUUUCCAAGAUAAAUUGCACUCUUCUCUUUUUGGGUAUGCAUUUCUUGCUCUUUCUAUGUAUAUGCAUGUAAAAUAAAAUAAUGAUCUGUAAAACUAUCAUUAAUUUGUUUGUUUUUUGUGGCAAAUGAAAAAUAGGGUGUUGUUCUUGGCUUCCACAUAGUACUGAAAUUGGUUAGAAGUCUCAUUUUGUGAGCUGAAUUUUCAUGUACUAUUAGUUUCUAUAUCUAGAAGAAAUAGUAAUGCUCUUAGGAAAACAAAAUGGGCAGAAAAGCCUCCUUACAUGACAUAUACUUGAACGAAAAUGAACUUUGGGGACACUGUUGAACAAAAUACUAAUUUGUACAGAGAUGUCGUCAAUACUUUUCGUUCAGAAUUUG